rnacentral:ncRNA from 2 species
CUUCAAGAGACUCAACUGCCAAGCUCCGACUCGGUUGAGCGCCAACCCCAUGUUCAAGGGUGGCUCGGAUGACGAAGCGGCCCGUAUUCGCCGCCACGGCGGCAUGUUGACCGGUACGGGCAAGAGCACCGA